AUAGACGUUCAUAUCUUGUCCAUAUCGCGUCCGUCCGUCUAAGACCAGUUCUGUACCCAAAAAUGACGUGCAAAAUAGGUAUACUAUUUUGACGUCAAACUAUGAGGUCCAUUAGACGUCUGAAUAUAGUUAAUCAUUUACCCAAUGGGGACUGCCUAAACAGAUGUGUCAAAAAAAAAUAACACAUUGGGAUGUGUAGACAGCAUUGACAGAUUAUGUGUCAUUUUUGUGUAAGAUUUCACAGAAUGUGUGAAACCUGAAGUUAAGAGAUUCAUUUCUGGGUCGUGCUACAACAAGUGAGAAACUAACGGCCGUUUGGCUGUCCAAUCGCGUGACUGUGGACAUUUGAAAGCAGACUUCCGCCCGCCUUUUCUACCGUUGGAAAUGCAAGAUGCGGCGACUUGACUUCAGACACCGAGAGAGGCUGGCGGCCCAGGUCUUGUGGCCACAUCUGUCCAAGCUCCUACUCUGAUUGAACAGUUGGAUGAUCAGACUGAUGAUGAAAAGUGCUACACAGUUCUCACACAUCUUCUGACUCCGAAGCCGCUGCAGUGUAAAAUCUGAGAUGUCUUUUCUGGUUGAUUUUGUGCAGAUUUCUGACAGCGACAGCGAUGGUGAGGGAAGCAGUGUACCGAACUCUCAGAUGACUCGGACCAGGUGACCAAACCCAUGCAAAGCACAAUGACUGUGCUGAGGCGUUCCGCCCCCCUCCCCCUCCACACCACUCAAGGCACGGCGGCGGCCCAACCGCAAACUAACGUGAGUACACAACACACACACACUUGUGUGCAUGCCACGCACUGACACUUUCUCUACAGUGACUUGUCAACUUUCCUUACAUUGUGUGUGUGCGUGUGACAGGGUGAU